AUUAUGGCUCAGGAUGAACGCUAGCGGCAGGCUUAACACAUGCAAGUCGAGGGGCAUCGGGAGUAGCAAUACUGCCGGCGACCGGCGCAAGGGUGCGUAACGCGUGAGCAACAUGCCCGUAUCAGGGGGAUAAUCCAUGGAAACGUGGUCUAAUACCCCAUAGUAAUUAUGUAAGGCAUCUUAUAUAAUUUAAAGCUUUGGUGGAUACGGAUUGGCUCGCGUGACAUUAGCUGGAUGGUAAGGUAACGGCUUACCAUGGCUACGAUGUCUAGGGGUUCUGAGAGGAAGGUCCCCCACACUGGAACUGAGACACGGUCCAGACUCCUACGGGAGGCAGCAGUGAGGAAUAUUGGACAAUGGAUGGAAAUCUGAUCCAGCCAUGCCGCGUGCAAGGAAGACGGCCCUAUGGGUUGUAAACUGCUUUUGUAUGGGAGCAAUAAGGGCUACGUGUAGUCCGAUGAGAGUACCAUACGAAUAAGCACCGGCUAACUCCGUGCCAGCAGCCGC
rnacentral:rRNA from 1 species